rnacentral:rRNA from 1 species
GGUUAAGCGACUAAGCGUACACGGUGGAUGCCCUGGCAGUCAGAGGCGAUGAAGGACGUGCUAAUCUGCGAUAAGCGUCGGUAAGGUGAUAUGAACCGUUAUAACCGGCGAUUUCCGAAUGGGGAAACCCAGUGUGUUUCGACACACUAUCAUUAACUGAAUCCAUAGGUUAAUGAGGCGAACCGGGGGAACUGAAACAUCUAAGUACCCCGAGGAAAAGAAAUCAACCGAGAUUCCCCCAGUAGCGGCGAGCGAACGGGGAGCAGCCCAGAGCCUGAAUCAGUGUGUGUGUUAGUGGAAGCGUCUGGAAAGGCGCGCGAUACAGGGUGACAGCCCCGUACACAAAAAUGCACAUAUUGUGAGCUCGAUGAGUAGGGCGGGACACGUGGUAUCCUGUCUGAAUAUGGGGGGACCAUCCUCCAAGGCUAAAUACUCCUGACUGACCGAUAGUGAACCAGUACCGUGAGGGAAAGGCGAAAAGAACCCCGGCGAGGGGAGUGAAAAAGAACCUGAAACCGUGUACGUACAAGCAGUGGGAGCCUCUUUUAUGGGGUGACUGCGUACCUUUUGUAUAAUGGGUCAGCGACUUAUAUUCUGUAGCAAGGUUAACCGAAUAGGGGAGCCGAAGGGAAACCGAGUCUUAACUGGGCGUUAAGUUGCAGGGUAUAGACCCGAAACCCGGUGAUCUAGCCAUGGGCAGGUUGAAGGUUGGGUAACACUAACUGGAGGACCGAACCGACUAAUGUUGAAAAAUUAGCGGAUGACUUGUGGCUGGGGGUGAAAGGCCAAUCAAACCGGGAGAUAGCUGGUUCUCCCCGAAAGCUAUUUAGGUAGCGCCUCGUGAAUUCAUCUCCGGGGGUAGAGCACUGUUUCGGCAAGGGGGUCAUCCCGACUUACCAACCCGAUGCAAACUGCGAAUACCGGAGAAUGUUAUCACGGGAGACACACGGCGGGUGCUAACGUCCGUCGUGAAGAGGGAAACAACCCAGACCGCCAGCUAAGGUCCCAAAGUCAUGGUUAAGUGGGAAACGAUGUGGGAAGGCCCAGACAGCCAGGAUGUUGGCUUAGAAGCAGCCAUCAUUUAAAGAAAGCGUAAUAGCUCACUGGUCGAGUCGGCCUGCGCGGAAGAUGUAACGGGGCUAAACCAUGCACCGAAGCUGCGGCAGCGACGCUUAUGCGUUGUUGGGUAGGGGAGCGUUCUGUAAGCCUGUGAAGGUGUACUGUGAGGUAUGCUGGAGGUAUCAGAAGUGCGAAUGCUGACAUAAGUAACGAUAAAGCGGGUGAAAAGCCCGCUCGCCGGAAGACCAAGGGUUCCUGUCCAACGUUAAUCGGGGCAGGGUGAGUCGACCCCUAAGGCGAGGCCGAAAGGCGUAGUCGAUGGGAAACAGGUUAAUAUUCCUGUACUUGGUGUUACUGCGAAGGGGGGACGGAGAAGGCUAUGUUGGCCGGGCGACGGUUGUCCCGGUUUAAGCGUGUAGGCUGGUUUUCCAGGCAAAUCCGGAAAAUCAAGGCUGAGGCGUGAUGACGAGGCACUACGGUGCUGAAGCAACAAAUGCCCUGCUUCCAGGAAAAGCCUCUAAGCAUCAGGUAACAUCAAAUCGUACCCCAAACCGACACAGGUGGUCAGGUAGAGAAUACCAAGGCGCUUGAGAGAACUCGGGUGAAGGAACUAGGCAAAAUGGUGCCGUAACUUCGGGAGAAGGCACGCUGAUAUGUAGGUGAAGUCCCUCGCGGAUGGAGCUGAAAUCAGUCGAAGAUACCAGCUGGCUGCAACUGUUUAUUAAAAACACAGCACUGUGCAAACACGAAAGUGGACGUAUACGGUGUGACGCCUGCCCGGUGCCGGAAGGUUAAUUGAUGGGGUCAGCGCAAGCGAAGCUCUUGAUCGAAGCCCCGGUAAACGGCGGCCGUAACUAUAACGGUCCUAAGGUAGCGAAAUUCCUUGUCGGGUAAGUUCCGACCUGCACGAAUGGCGUAAUGAUGGCCAGGCUGUCUCCACCCGAGACUCAGUGAAAUUGAACUCGCUGUGAAGAUGCAGUGUACCCGCGGCAAGACGGAAAGACCCCGUGAACCUUUACUAUAGCUUGACACUGAACAUUGAGCCUUGAUGUGUAGGAUAGGUGGGAGGCUUUGAAGUGUGGACGCCAGUCUGCAUGGAGCCGACCUUGAAAUACCACCCUUUAAUGUUUGAUGUUCUAACGUUGACCCGUAAUCCGGGUUGCGGACAGUGUCUGGUGGGUAGUUUGACUGGGGCGGUCUCCUCCUAAAGAGUAACGGAGGAGCACGAAGGUUGGCUAAUCCUGGUCGGACAUCAGGAGGUUAGUGCAAUGGCAUAAGCCAGCUUGACUGCGAGCGUGACGGCGCGAGCAGGUGCGAAAGCAGGUCAUAGUGAUCCGGUGGUUCUGAAUGGAAGGGCCAUCGCUCAACGGAUAAAAGGUACUCCGGGGAUAACAGGCUGAUACCGCCCAAGAGUUCAUAUCGACGGCGGUGUUUGGCACCUCGAUGUCGGCUCAUCACAUCCUGGGGCUGAAGUAGGUCCCAAGGGUAUGGCUGUUCGCCAUUUAAAGUGGUACGCGAGCUGGGUUUAGAACGUCGUGAGACAGUUCGGUCCCUAUCUGCCGUGGGCGCUGGAGAACUGAGGGGGGCUGCUCCUAGUACGAGAGGACCGGAGUGGACGCAUCACUGGUGUUCGGGUUGUCAUGCCAAUGGCACUGCCCGGUAGCUAAAUGCGGAAGAGAUAAGUGCUGAAAGCAUCUAAGCACGAAACUUGCCCCGAGAUGAGUUCUCCCUGACUCCUUGAGAGUCCUGAAGGAACGUUGAAGACGACGACGUUGAUAGGCCGGGUGUGUAAGCGCAGCGAUGCGUUGAGCUAACCGGUACUAAUGAACCGUGAGGCUUAACCUU